GACGAACGCUGGCGGCGUGCUUAACACAUGCAAGUCGAACGGAAAGGCCCUGCUUUUUUGUGGUUCUCGAGUGGCGAACGGGUGAGUAACACGUGAGUAACCUUCCCUUUACUUUGUGAUAACUUCAGGAAACUGGGGCUACUACCUGAUAGGAGCUCCUGCUGCAUGGUGGGGUUUGGACAGUUUCGGCGGUUGGGGAUGGACUCGCGGCUUAUCAGCUUGUUGGUGGGGUAGUGGCUUACCAAGGCUUUGACGGGUAGCCGGCCUGAGAGGGUGAACGGCGACAUUGGGACUGAGAGACGGCCCAGACUCCUACGGGAGGCAGAAGUGGGGAAUAUUGCACAAUGGGCGGAAGCCUGAUGCAGCAACGCCGCGUGCGGGAUGAAGGCCUUCGGGUUGUAAACCGCUUUAGCCUGUGACGAAGCGUGAGUGACGGUAAUGGGUAAAGAAGCACCGGCUAACUACGUG
rnacentral:rRNA from 1 species